UCUUUAAUUUCAAAAUAUCUCCCUCCAUUUUUUCAAAAUCUUCUUUGUGUGAACUACUUUUGUUCUAAACUUUGACCACUUUUGCAAAAAAAGAUAGAAAUUUUGGCCUUAUGCCAUUGCAUUUUCAAACUUCUUUUCUUAAAUCAAACUUGUAAAUAAACUUAACUAUACUUGACUUAAACUUUCAAAAAGCCAAAGAGAACUAACUCAUUCAAGCCAUUUUUUAGGCCUUUAUGCUUUUCAAACUUAAUUUUUGUUAAAA
rnacentral:lncRNA from 1 species